AUAAGCCGUGGGGAGCUGCGAAUGAGCUUUGAUCCAUGGAUCUCCGAAUGGGGCAACCCACCUUAAAUACUUGGAAAAUUUAAGCCGUGCGCGAGCACGGCUUAAGUUUCCAAGUAUUGUUACAAGGUAUCUUAUUCUGAAUACAUAGGGAUAAGAAGCGAACGCAGGGAACUGAAACAUCUAAGUACCUGCAGGAAAGGACAUCAACCGAGACUCCGCAAGUAGUGGCGAGCGAACGCGGACCAGGCCAGUGGCAAUGCGGAAUGAAGUGGAAUGAUCUGGAAAGGUCGGCCGUAGCGGGUGACAGCCCCGUACACGUAGAACACGCAUUGUCCUUGAGUAAGGCGGGACACGUGAAAUCCUGUCUGAACAUGGGGAGACCACUCUCCAAGCCUAAGUACUCGUGCAUGACCGAUAGCGAACAAGUACCGUGAGGGAAAGGUGAAAAGCACCCCGACAAGGGGAGUGAAAUAGAACCUGAAACCGGAUGCCUACAAACAGUCGGAGCCCGCAAGGGUGACGGCGUACCUUUUGUAUAAUGGGUCAACGACUUAGUGUGACAUGCAAGCUUAAGCCGGUAGGUGGAGGCGUAGCGAAAGCGAGUCUGAACAGGGCGCCUUAGUAUGUCGCAUUAGACCCGAAACCGAGUGAUCUAGCCAUGAGCAGGUUGAAGGUUGGGUAACACCAACUGGAGGACCGAACCCGCAUCUGUUGCAAUAGAUUGGGAUGACUUGUGGCUAGGGGUGAAAGGCCAAUCAAACUCGGAAAUAGCUGGUUCUCCGCGAAAUCUAUUUAGGUAGAGCGUCGACCGAAUACCCCCGGGGGUAGAGCACUGGAUGGGCUAUGGGGACUCACCGUCUUACUGAUCCUAACCAAACUCCGAAUACCGGGGAGUACUAGUCGGCAGACACACGGCGGGUGCUAACGUCCGUCGUGAAGAGGGCAACAACCCUGACCUCCAGCUAAGGUCCCCAAGUCAUGGCUAAGUGGGAAAGGAUGUGAGGAUCCCAAAACAACCAGGAUGUUGGCUUAGAAGCAGCCAUCAUUUAAAGAAAGCGUAACAGCUCACUGGUCUAAACAAGGGUCUUUGCGCCGAAAAUGUAACGGGGCUGAAGCCAUGCACCGAAGCUGAGGAUACGUCGCAAGACGUGUGGUAGCGGAGCGUUCCGUAAGCCCGUGAAGGGAUACCCGUGAGGGGUCCUGGAGGUAUCGGAAGUGCGAAUGUUGACAUGAGUAACGAUAAAGAGGGUGAGAGACCCUCUCGCCGAAAGACCAAGGGUUCCUGCUUAAAGUUAAUCUGAGCAGGGUUAGCCGGCCCCUAAGACGAGGCGGACACGCGUAGUCGAUGGGAACCACGUUAAUAUUCGUGGGCCUGGUGGUAGUGACGGAUCGCUUGACUUGUCCGGACUUAUUGGAUUGUCCGGGCUUGGACGCGGUUCCAGGAAAUAGCUCCACCGUAUAGACCGUACCCGAAACCGACACAGGUGGUCAGGUAGAGUAUACCAAGGCGCUUGAGAGAACUAUGUUGAAGGAACUCGGCAAAUUGCACGCGUAACUUCGGAAGAAGCGUGACCCCAUUAUGGGCAACCAUGAUGGGGUGGCACAGACCAGGGGGUAGCGACUGUUUAUCAAAAACACAGGGCUCUGCGAAGUCGCAAGACGACGUAUAGGGUCUGACGCCUGCCCGGUGCUGGAAGGUUAAGAGGAGGGGUGCAAGCUCUGAAUCGAAGCCCCAGUAAACGGCGGCCGUAACUAUAACGGUCCUAAGGUAGCGAAAUUCCUUGUCGGGUAAGUUCCGACCUGCACGAAUGGCGUAACGACUUCCCCGCUGUCUCCAACAUAGACUCAGUGAAAUUGAAUUCCCCGUGAAGAUGCGGGGUUCCUGCGGUCAGACGGAAAGACCCCGUGCACCUUUACUAUAGCUUUACACUGGCAUUCGUGUCGGCAUGUGUAGGAUAGGUGGUAGGCUUUGAAGCGGGGACGCCAGUUCUCGUGGAGCCAUCCUUGAAAUACCACCCUUAUCGUCAUGGAUGUCUAACCGCGGUCCGUCAUCCGGAUCCGGGACAGUGUAUGGUGGGUAGUUUGACUGGGGCGGUCGCCUCCGAAAGAGUAACGGAGGCGCGCGAUGGUGGGCUCAGAGCGGUCGGAAAUCGCUCGUCGAGUGCAAUGGCAUAAGCCCGCCUGACUGCGAGACUGACAAGUCGAGCAGAGACGAAAGUCGGUCAUAGUGAUCCGGUGGUCCCGCGUGGAAGGGCCAUCGCUCAACGGAUAAAAGGUACGCCGGGGAUAACAGGCUGAUGACCCCCAAGAGUCCAUAUCGACGGGGUUGUUUGGCACCUCGAUGUCGGCUCAUCGCAUCCUGGGGCUGGAGCAGGUCCCAAG
rnacentral:rRNA from 1 species